AAACAUAGCCUUUAGCAAACCUAGUAUUAAAGGUAACACCUGCCCAGUGAAAUUUAAAACGGCCGCGGUAUCCUAAACCGUGCAAAGGUAGCGUAAUCACUUGUCUUAUAAAUAAAGACCCGUAUGAAUGGCUAAAUGAGCAUUUAACUGUCUCCUCUAACUAAUCAGUGAAACUGAUCUUUCAGUACAAAAGCUGAAAUAAUCUCAUAAGACGAGAAGACCCUGUGGAGCUUUAAACUAACACCAAAACAUUAUAACAAAAUAUGUUCCUGCUAUACAGUUUUAAGUUGGGGCGACUUUGGAGUAAAAUAAAACCUCCAAGAAUAAGGCAUUGCCUAAAUAAAGACCAACAAGCCGAAAUUACCUAGACCCAGUACCACUGACCAACGAACCAAGUUACCCCAGGGAUAACAGCGCCAUCUUCUUCAAGAGUUCAUAUCGACAAGAAGGCUUACGACCUCGAUGUUGGAUCAGGACACCCAAAUGGUGCAACCGCUAUAA
rnacentral:rRNA from 1 species